AUUUCAUUCUGUAGUGAACCCUUAUUAUUCUUCUCCAUGGCUUCCUCAUUAAUUGAUAUGGUUACAGAAUCACAUUCAACAAGAACUGAUGACUGAGAGGCAGCAGUCACUUUUUCAGUAUCAACAAGAUUUAAGUCCAGUCCUGAUAACCUAUCAAUCACCUGACUCACAAUAUCAUUUAAUUUAAGAAAUUCUGAUUUGCUUAAAGAAAUUAUAACGGGAGAUAAAUGUGCAUGAAUGCAGAACUCAGAGCUUAUAAUCAUUUCUUGUCG
rnacentral:misc_RNA from 1 species